rnacentral:misc_RNA from 1 species
GAUGAAGAACGCAGCGAAAUGCGAUAAGUAAUGUGAAUUGCAGAAUUCAGUGAAUCAUCGAGUCUUUGAACGCACAUUGCGCCCCCUGGUAUUCCGGGGGGCAUGCCUGUCCGAGCGUCAUUGCUGCCCUCAAGCACGGCUUGUGUGUUGGGCCCCGUCCCCGGUUCUCCCCGGGGACGGGCCCGAAAGGCAGCGGCGGCACCGCGUCCGAUCCUCGAGCGUAUGGGGCUUUGUCACCCGCUCUGUAGGCCCGGCCGGCGCCAGCCGACACCCCAACUUUAUUUUCUAAGGUUGACCUCGGAUCAGGUAGGGAUACCCGCUGAACUUAAGCAUAUCAAUAAGCGGAGGA